UACGUAGGCACCAAGCGUUGUCCGGAUUUAUUGGGCGUAAAGAGCUCGUAGGCGGUUCGGUAAGUCGGGUGUGAAACUCUGGGCUCAACCUAGAGCCGCCACCCGAUACUGCUGUGACUCGAGUGCGGUAGGGGAGCGGGGAAUUCCUGGUGUAGCGGUGAAAUGCGCAGAUAUCAGGAGGAACACCAGUGGCGAAGGCGCCGCUCGUGGGCCGUGAACGUGACGCUGAGGAGCGAAAGCGUGGGUAGCAAACAGG
rnacentral:rRNA from 1 species